rnacentral:snoRNA from 13 species
UGUAUUGGGAUGAAACCCAUGCGUGUCAACUGAGUCUCUAAAUCUCUUGUCGUGGUGUCGACCCAGCUGGCGUUUUGCAAGCUUGACUCGACAGCGAAGCAAGGCCUUAGAGAAAUGAUCAGGACUGACUUUCUGAAUGCA